GUAGGGAAUAUUGCACAAUGGGGGAAACCCUGAUGCAGCGACGCCGCGUGAGUGAUGAAGGCCUUCGGGUCGUAAAGCUCUGUCGUAUGGGACUAACACAAUGAAGGUACCAUGCAAGAAAGGAUCGGCUAACUUCGUGCCAGCAGCCGCGGUAAGACGAGGGAUCCUAGCGUUGUUCGGAAUCAUUGGGCGUAAAGCGGGUGUAGGCGGAUUUAUAAGUCAGGUGUGAAAUCCCAGGGCUCAACCCUGGAAGUGCACUUGAUACUGUAAAUCUUGAGUGUGGUAGAGGUUACUGGAAUUGUUGGUGUAGUGGUGAAAUACGUAGAUAUCAACAGGAAUACCGGAGGCGAAGGCGAGUAACUGGACCAACACUGACGCUGAGACCCGAAAGCGUGGGGAUCAAACAGGAUUAGAAACCCCGGUAGUCC
rnacentral:rRNA from 1 species